UUGAACGCUGGCGGCAGGCCUAACACAUGCAAGUCGAGCGGAUGAGAGGAGCUUGCUCCUUGAUUCAGCGGCGGACGGGUGAGUAAUGCCUAGGAAUCUGCCUAUUAGUGGGGGACAACGUUUCGAAAGGAACGCUAAUACCGCAUACGUCCUACGGGAGAAAGCAGGGGACCUUCGGGCCUUGCGCUAAUAGAUGAGCCUAGGUCGGAUUAGCUAGUUGGUGAGGUAAUGGCUCACCAAGGCGACGAUCCGUAACUGGUCUGAGAGGAUGAUCAGUCACACUGGAACUGAGACACGGUCCAGACUCCUACGGGAGGCAGCAGUGGGGAAUAUUGGACAAUGGGCGAAAGCCUGAUCCAGCCAUGCCGCGUGUGUGAAGAAGGUCUUCGGACUGUAAAGCACUUUAAGUUGGGAGGAAGGGUUGUAGAUUAAUACUCUGCAAUUUUGACGUUACCGACAGAAUAAGCACCGGCUAACUCUGU
rnacentral:rRNA from 1 species